rnacentral:rRNA from 1 species
CGUUCAACCUCACCCUUCCUUGCUUUUCCCGCCUAUAUACCACCGUCGUCAGCUUACCCUGUGAAGGUUUUAUAGUAAGCAAAGUUGGCACAGCCUAAAACGUCAGGUCGAGGUGUAGUGCAUGAGAGGGGAAGAAAUGGGCUACAUUCGCUACCGAUAGCGAAUUACGAAUGUUGCAUUGAAACAUGCAGCUGAAGGAGGAUUUAGCAGUAAGCAGAAAGCAGAGCGUCCCGCUGAAACUGGCCCUAAAGCGCGCACACACCGCCCGUCACCCUCCCCAAGCUUCCGGCCCUAAUUAAUUAAAACCCUACAACUGCAAAGGAGAGGAAAGUCGUAACAUGGUAAGUGUACCGGAAGGUGCGCUUGGAAAAAU